CAGUCGCCGCGGUAAUACGUAGGUGGCAAGCGUUAUCCGGAAUUAUUGGGCGUAAAGGGCUCGCAGGCGGUUUCUUAAGUCUGAUGUGAAAGCCCCCGGCUCAACCGGGGAGGGUCAUUGGAAACUGGGAAACUUGAGUGCAGAAGAGGAGAGUGGAAUUCCACGUGUAGCGGUGAAAUGCGUAGAGAUGUGGAGGAACACCAGUGGCGAAGGCGACUCUCUGGUCUGUAACUGACGCUGAGGAGCGAAAGCGUGGGGAGCGAACAGGAUUAGAUACCCCUGUAGUCCCUGUCUCUUAUAC
rnacentral:rRNA from 1 species